rnacentral:rRNA from 1 species
CCAGACUCCUACGGGAGGCAGCAGUGGGGAAUAUUGGACAAUGGACCAAGAGUCUGAUCCAGCAAUUCUGUGUGCACGAUGAAGUUUUUCGGAAUGUAAAGUGCUUUCAGUUGGGAAGAAAAAAAUGACGGUACCAACAGAAGAAGUGACGGCUAAAUACGUGCCAGCAGCCGCGGUAAUACGUAUGUCACAAGCGUUAUCCGGAUUUAUUGGGCGUAAAGCGCGUCUAGGUGGUUAUGUAAGUCUGAUGUGAAAAUGCAGGGCUCAACUCUGUAUUGCGUUGGAAACUGUAUAACUAGAGUACUGGAGAGGUAAGCGGAACUACAAGUGUAGAGGUGAAAUUCGUAGAUAUUUGUAGGAAUGCCGAUGGGGAAGCCAGCUUACUGGACAGAUACUGACGCUGAAGCGCGAAAGCGUGGGUAGCAAACAGGAUUAGAUACCCUGGUAGUCCACGCCGUAAACGAUGAUUACUAGGUGUUGGGGGUCGAACCUCAGCGCCCAAGCAAACGCGAUAAGUAAUCCGCCUGGGGAGUACGUACGCAAGUAUGAAACUCAAAGGAAUUGACGGGGGCCCGCACAAG